GGUGUCCGGGCGGGCGCCCCGCGGGGGUGUGUGCCCCCCACAGAGCUAACUGCAGCCCUUGGUUUUGCAGCUGCGGCCCGCUGCCCCCUGACACCCAGGGGCAGUGAGCCGGCGGGUUCCCGAGGCCGGGGCGCCGCCCCCCAGGACGCACGGCUUCUCAGAGGGCUCCCCGCGGCUGGCCUUGCAGCAGACAACCCCCGAGCCCCCGCGUGCCUGCACCUGGCCCCCUCUGCCCCACGAGCUGCCACCUGCUCUCUGGGACACGCAAUCGGCACUUUCUGUCGGCUGAGACGCCUGCUCUGAGCACCGGGAGCAUUGUGACAAUCAAAGGAGCUAAUGUAUGCUGAGGUUCGCCGCGAGCUGUCCGUGCCAGCGGCUACAGUUUCAAUCACUCAAUUGGCCAGUGAUGAAAGUCUAGACAGAAACCUUUGUGGAAAAGGAGCAAAGGGAUCCAAGUCUGCAUUUCACACGGCGAAGCGGACACACCACGCCGGCUUUAUCAUUCUCUAGGUGUUAAGGAUCAUGGCUCUCACAAACUCUGGAGAGGCCAGCAGAAGUUUAUUUCCUAAGGGCCAGAAUCUUCGCGAGAAAUGCUGUGUUUAAAGAACACAAAGAAAAUGAACCUGAAGGCAUGGGGUCUGCGCCUGGCUUAAAGAUGGCUGAGGGCGGUUCAUUAAACCGUGUGUGAAAAGGGAGUAAAGAAAAUCACCGUGGGAGGCCCCUGGUGAAGACAGAUCAGAAUGAACAUUUUCAAAGGAAUAGCUGAUCUUUGAAAAAGACAAGAAAGAUCACUCUGUACACUGCCCGGAGGAUUCGGUCACUGUGUUUGGACUCUUGAGGACCUUGGGCUGUUCCUUCUUGGGCAAGGAGCAAUGUAAGAAAAUUAAGUUUCUCUUCUAUGUUCACUUGUUUAUGGAUUGUUGCUGAGUCCAGUGCAGCAAAAGACAAUACCCAUACCCUCCACCAAACAAGCAAGCAAACAAAGAUACAUCCCAAGGACACCAACUGUAGACCUGAAGGGAAAUAACUGGACCCGCUCCGUGACUGCGCUGUCCGAGGAACACCUCGCACCUUCGUCCCUCUGCUAAUGAUCAGCCUCACGGGCGAGGCUGCGCAUUUUGUCCAGAGAAAUGCGGUGGACCAUCUUCGGAGUCCGAGCUCUGCAGGGACACCGAGCCACGUCUGGAGAACGCCCUCCCCGAUGUACAAUCGCUCCAGUCCCCCCCCCCCAUUCAUCAAUUUUUCACCGUGAGGCUUCAUUAAUAGAUUUACCAGUCAAGAGAUAUAGGUGUAGGUGAAGAGAAAGAGGCUCAGCCUUGCCACAAGAUGACCGUUGGUGGCAUGAAGGACUUGUCAAAGCUGAAUUCAGCAUUUCACUUUGGUCACAGUCUCUGGAUUUGUAGCUGCGUGGAAACCUAUUGCCUGUCUGCUGGAGUGGAUCAUAUGAGAAGGAGAAGCAGGCUUUUAGAGAUAGUCCACAUUUUAAAAUUCUCUGCUCUGCUCUGCAUUUCCUGGAGACCCCGUAGCAGGCCUAAGCACCUUCCGUGGUGAAUCAGUCUGGUAUUCCUUCUGAUUACUCAGCGUAGAAGUCAUCGACAGAUAGCCUGACCUUACGGAAGCAUUUUACCAUGAUGAGCUGCUCAAUUGAUGUCCCUUACAUAAAACUAAAGACACGUUUACCCUUAGGAGAGUGGCACUCUUGGGCAGAAGUCUCAGCCGUCUUGGCCCGCUGUUCAUAGUUGCGACCCUCUUUUCUGGUGCUCAGACUAAG